rnacentral:rRNA from 2 species
CAUGUCCUUUUGAUAAUUAUUUAAGGUCUGGCCUGCUCACUGAGUAUUAAAUAGCUGCAGUAUUUUGACUGUACAAAGGUAGCAUAAUAAUUAGUUUCUUAAUUAGAAGCUGGAAUGAAUGGUUUGACAAGAAAAUUUCUGUCUCUUUCUUAAUUUUGUUGAAUUUUAUUUUUAAGUGAAAAAGCUUAAAUUUUUAUAAAAGACGAGAAGACCCUAUAGAGUUUGAUAUUUUUAUUUAAUCUAAUUUUAGAAUAAUUGUUUAAUUAAAUUUAUUUGAUUGGGGUGAUUGAAAGAUUAAGAAAAUUCUUUUAGUUUUUAAUUGAAGAUUAUCAAAUUUUUAAUCUAUAAUUUAUAAAAUUAAUAUAAAUUACCUUAGGGAUAACAGCGUAAUUUUUCUUAAAAGUUCAUAUUACAAGGAAAGUUUGCGACCUCGAUGUUGGAUUAAAAUUAAUUUUUGGUGCAGUAACUAAAAAAUUGGGUCUGUUCGACCUUUAAAAUUUUACAUGAUCUGAGUUUAGACCGGCGUGAGCCAGGUUGGAUUCUAUCUUUAGAAUUAUACUAUAUUUUAGUACGAAAGGACCAAGUAUGGAUUAAAUUAAUUGU